GCCGUCGGUGGUACAGGGAUAGAGCACGCGCCUCCGUAUUGGGUGAAAUGCGGGUUCAAGUCCCGCCUGACGCA